UGGCGAACGGGUGAGUAACACGUGGGUAAUCUGCCCUGCACUCUGGGAUAAGCCUGGGAAACUGGGUCUAAUACUGGAUAUGACCUUUCUCCUUAUGGGGUUUGGUAGAAAGUUUUUCGGUGUAGGAUGAGCCCGCGGCCUAUCAGCUUGUUGGUGGGGUGAUGGCCUACCAAGGCGACGACGGGUAGCCGGCCUGAGAGGGUGAUCGGCCACAUUGGGACUGAGAUACGGCCCAG
rnacentral:rRNA from 1 species